rnacentral:rRNA from 1 species
UCUUGGUCAUUUAGAGGAAGUAAAAGUCGUAACAAGGUUUCCGUAGGUGAACCUGCGGAAGGAUCAUUACAAGAAGAGACCCUAACCGGUCCUCUCAACCCUGCCCAUCGUACCUUUUUUUGUUGUUCCCUCGGCGGUGCUCGCGGGCCCGCCGGCGGGAAGACCAAACAAACCCUUUGCAAACAAGCAUAUCGAAAUCUCUGAUCAAACAUGAAUUGUCACAACUUUCAACAAUGGAUCUCUUGGUUCUGGCAUCGAUGAAGAACGCAGCGAAAUGCGAUAAGUAGUGUGAAUUGCAGAAUUCAGUGAAUCAUCGAAUCUUUGAACGCACAUUGCGCCCCUCGGUAUUCCGUGGGGCAUGCCUGUUCGAGCGUCAUUUACACCCCUCAAGCUCUGCUUGGUGUUGGGCGUCUGUCCGCCGCCGCGAGGCGGGGGACUCGCCCCAAAGGCAUUGGCAGCGGCGUCCGCCGGGCUUUUCCCCAUCAGCGCAGCACUGUUCGCGCACCUCGGGGACCCGCGCGGAGGCAGCGUCCACGAAGCGCCCACGUUUUUGACUUGACCUCGGAUCAGGUAGGGAUACCCGCUGAACUUAAGCAUAUCAAUAAGCGGAGG